GAUGUGUAGGAUAGGUGGGAGGCUUUGAAGUGUGGACGCCAGUCUGCAUGGAGCCGACCUUGAAAUACCACCCUUUAAUGUUUGAUGUUCUAACGUGGACCCGUAAUCCGGGUUGCGGACAGUGUCUGGUGGGUAGUUUGACUGGGGCGGUCUCCUCCUAAAGAGUAACGGAGGAGCACGAAGGUUGGCUAAUCCUGGUCGGACAUCAGGAGGUUAGUGCAAUGGCAUAAGCCAGCUUGACUGCGAGCGUGACGGCGCGAGCAGGUGCGAAAGCAGGUCAUAGUGAUCCGGUGGUUCUGAAUGGAAGGGCCAUCGCUCAACGGAUAAAAGGUACUCCGGGGAUAACAGGCUGAUACCGCCCAAGAGUUCAUAUCGACGGCGGUGUUUGGCACCUCGAUGUCGGCUCAUCACAUCCUGGGGCUGAAGUAGGUCCCAAGGGUAUGGCUGUUCGCCAUUUAAAGUGGUACGCGAGCUGGGUUUAGAACGUCGUGAGACAGUUCGGUCCCUAUCUGCCGUGGGCGCUGGAGAAUUGAGGGGGGCUGCUCCUAGUACGAGAGGACCGGAGUGGACGCAUCACUG
rnacentral:rRNA from 1 species